AAAACACAAUCCAAUAGUCCAUUAUCCACCAGCCCAAAUAAAUGUUCUAAAACUCUCUAUUAUUGUAGGUAUUUGUACUUACCAUGUCUGUAUAGAGGCGGUUGUGGUUUUAUAUACAAAGAGAGGCAUCCCAUUAUACUGUCACUCUCAUAUCUCUUGGAUGAGAUUCCGAAGGCAUUUCCUGAUCUAAAAUUGAAGGACAAUUUUGUUUGUGGUUUCUACGGUUUAUCACCUGUGCAUUGUUUUGAAUACAUUUAAGGAAUUUGGGAUAUAUCAACUGGAAUACCACCCAAUCAUCCAAAAAUAUUUAUUACAAAUUAUGAAGAGAUGGAUAGUACAGAUUAUGAAGAGGUGGAUGAGAAGGACGAGAUUAAUAAAAAACUUCUUCACUAUCUCGGCAGCAACCUUGCCUAUGACAGUUUUUUUGGAGUUCAGAGGUCAGUUGAUUUAUAGGUGACCGAUUGAUGGUGAUGUUACUGAUUCAAAACACAACAGGUUGAUAAUUGGAUUUGGCAUGUAUGUUGAUGGCAACGGUACUGUUGAUGAUUAUUUUGAAAUAAAAAAUACGCAUGGAUCUGAUUGGGGAGAUAAUGGAUAUGGUAAGAAGAGGCUUGAUGUAUGAGUUAUUCCAUCACUUAGCACCUGUGUCUGAACGCCACCGCUGAAGUAUAAGGACCUGGAUAGAAGAAACUAUUCCAAAUGAUAGCUUCCAGCAGAUUCAGAUUCUAUUUUAGAAGGACGUAAUGGUUCUACCACAUAGUUAACCUUCUAACUUGCCUUUUUUAAGAGCUCUAUUCUUGGUCAAUUUAAGAGCACAUGCAAAAGUUUGAUUUGCCAAUGUCCUUUGAGGAACACUCUGAAUGUGAUGUUAAUGACAGUUCACUACAAUUAUUCUAUUUAGAUUGCUCUACUGCUCUUCUUCGUUCCCAAAAAGCCCAUGAAGUUGGUUCUGGAUUUCUUUCGAUGAGGUGAUGCAUAAUCCAGCAUAAAUGAGUAAAGCAUGUGAUUUCAUUUCUCUAUUGUAGAUGUGCAAGACCAAGAAAAUACUGAUGGCAGUGCUUAUAAUUGAUGAAAACAGUGUGGUGUUUGAAGCGAUACUAAAACAUUCCAAGCUUACUUAUGUAGAUGUGCAACACCAAGAAAAAUUUGGUUAGUUUCCUAGCCUUUUCUCAUUUGAGUAUUUUAAAAGUAUUGAUGUAGUUAUUUGUAUCUCAAAAAGAGAUACAAACUCUCCAUUAUUGUAGGUACUUGUAUACUUACCAUGCCUAUAUAGAGGCAGUUGUUGCUUUAUAUACCAAAGAGAGGCGUCCCAUUAUACUGUCACUCCAUAUCUCUUGGAUGAGGCAUUUCCUGAUCUAAAAGUGGAGGACAAUCUUGUUGGUGGUUUCUAUGGCUCAUUACCUGUGCAUUGUGUUGGAAAAAUUACUACAAUAUUGAUAUGAAACUGGAAUUAAUAAUAGUAAGAGAAUAGUCAUAAAAAUUGUAUCAUGGCAAAUCACUGCCUUAAAAGCAAUUUCGGCCCAAUUCCGGUGCAAAUCCUUCUAGCCGGUCGCUCCCCGAGCUUCCACAGUUACUUCCAAACACGUGCACUCGUGGCUGGAAGUUUGGAGGUUGCCCAAACCAAUUGCCCAAA